rnacentral:rRNA from 1 species
AUUGAACGCUGGCGGCAUGCUUUACACAUGCAAGUCGAACGGUAACAGGGAGCUUGCUCCGCUGACGAGUGGCGAACGGGUGAGUAAUGCGUCGGAACGUGCCGAGUAGUGGGGGAUAACGCAUCGAAAGGUGUGCUAAUACCGCAUACGUACUGAGGUAGAAAGUGGGGGACCUUCGGGCCUCACGCUAUUCGAGCGGCCGACGUCUGAUUAGCUAGUUGGUGAGGUAAAGGCUCACCAAGGCGACGAUCAGUAGCGGGUCUGAGAGGAUGGUCCGCCACACUGGGACUGGGACACGGCCCAGACUCCUACGGGAGGCAGCAGUGGGGAAUUUUGGACAAUGGGCGCGAGCCUGAUCCAGCCAUGCCGCGUGUCUGAAGAAGGCCUUCGGGUUGUAAAGGACUUUUGUCCGGGAGCAAAUGCUGGUGGCUAACAUCCACCGGAGCUGAGAGUACCGGAAGAAUAAGCACCGGCUAACUACGUGCCAGCCGCCGCCGUAAUAC